GUUCAAAGUUGCAGUGAGCUGUGAUCGUGCUACUGCAGUCCAUCCUGGAUGGCAGAGUGAGACACUGUCUCAGAAAAAACAAAACAGAAAUUCCCCAAAAACUUCGCGACAGCCAUGCCAGCAAGAUGAACGUCCCCAUCUCUGUAGAUGAGAAAACUGAGACCCAGUGAUGUGAAGGUCCCAAAGGGAGUUGGUGGCAGUGGAGACUGGGCCCCAGGCUAGGAGACAUGGGAGGAGUGGCCUCUAAGCCAAGUUCCUUCUCUGCUACCCCCCUGGGGCCCCUCCUCCC
rnacentral:lncRNA from 10 species